rnacentral:rRNA from 1 species
UACGUAGGGACCGAGCGUUGUCCGGAAUUAUUGGGCGUAAAGAGCUCGUAGGCGGCCUGUCGCGUCGACCGUGAAAACCCGCAGCUCAACUGCGGGCUUGCGGUCGAUACGGGCAGGCUGGAGUUCGGUAGGGGAGACUGGAAUUCCUGGUGUAGCGGUGAAAUGCGCAGAUAUCAGGAGGAACACCGGUGGCGAAGGCGGGUCUCUGGGCCGAUACUGACGCUGAGGAGCGAAAGCGUGGGGAGCGAACAGG